rnacentral:rRNA from 1 species
AACGAACGCUGGCGGCAGGCCUAACACAUGCAAGUCGAACGCUCCUGCAAUGGAGAGUGGCAGACGGGUGAGUAACGCGUGGGAACCUUCCCUAUGGUUCGGAAUAGCUCAGGGAAACUUGAGGUAAUACCGGAUAAGCCCUUCGGGGAAGAUUUAUCGCCAUUGGAUGGGCCCGCGUAGGAUUAGCUAGUUGGUGAGGUAACGGCUCACCAAGGCGACGAUCCUUAGCUGGCUGAGAGGAUGAUCAGCCACACUGGGACUGAGACACGGCCCAGACUCCUACGGGAGGCAGCAGUGGGGAAUAUUGGACAAUGGGCGCAAGCCUGAUCCAGCCAUGCCGCGUGAGUGACGAAGGCCUUAGGUUGUAAAGCUCUUUUGGCGGGAAGAUAAUGACGGUACCGCAGAAUAAGCUCCGGCUAACUUCGUGCCAGCAGCCG